ensembl:snoRNA small nucleolar RNA SNORD74
CCCAUGCACUAAUGAUGAUAUAAAUGUUGGUAGGGACAUCUGAGUUUUCAUUGAGGAUAUACCAACUUUUCUUCUUCUUGUCUGAUCACAUGGG